rnacentral:rRNA from 1 species
GUGCACGCUGGCGGUAGGCCUAACACAUGCAAGUCGAACGGCAGCACAGUAAGAGCUUGCUCUUACGGGUGGCGAGUGGCGGACGGGUGAGGAAUACAUCGGAAUCUACUUUUUCGUGGGGGAUAACGUAGGGAAACUUACGCUAAUACCGCAUACGACCUACGGGUGAAAGCAGGGGAUCUUCGGACCUUGCGCGAUUGAAUGAGCCGAUGUCGGAUUAGCUAGUUGGCGGGGUAAAGGCCCACCAAGGCGACGAUCCGUAGCUGGUCUGAGAGGAUGAUCAGCCACACUGGAACUGAGACACGGUCUAGACUCCUACGGGAGGCAGCAGUGGGGAAUAUUGGACAAUGGGCGCAAGCCUGAUCCAGCCAUACCGCGUGGGUGAAGAAGGCCUUCGGGUUGUAAAGCCCUUUUGUUGGGAAAGAAAAGCAGCAGGUUAAUACCCCGCUGUUCUGACGGUACCCAAAGAAUAAGCACCGGCUAACUUCGUG